rnacentral:lncRNA from 1 species
GUCGAAAUGUUCAGGUCCGUCAUAUUUGUUUUUCGUAAUAAGUUUUAUUGUAAAUCAUCAGUCCUGCUGACUCCUGCAUCUCCACCAACCAAUAUAAAAGAGGCAUAUUUUUGUAGAUUUUAAAAUAAGCUCGGGAUAUUAAAUCGGUAUCCCUACAAAUAUAUUGAGUGUCAUCUCUCAAACUAUGUCUGAUCGAUCGCUAUUGGAAGUGCUGUGUACUGUCUCCGUAUUUCGUGGAUUCACAUUUCCGAACAUGAUACCUAUUGCUCAUCUUUUCUGAGCACAUAUAUCCUAUUUGUCAUCUUAUUUUUAAGGAUCUGGGUAUGUAUUUGUCUCUUAGUUUUUCGCAUUUUGACUGACUCUACAUUAGUCCUUUAUUUCUGCGACAAAAUAAUUUAAUAAAACUCAGAUGAGUGAAACAAGGGGUAGAAAGUGUUGCGACCAAAGAGGGCGGGUAGUGUUAUCCAACUCCGAUAUGUUUAUUUAUGUAGUUAAAUGUGGUGAAACCUCACUCCCCUGAUACGCGAAAGGGGAACCGAAGAUCUAGUGAAAGAAGGUAGAUCAAGACACAAAAAAAAUAAACAGCGAACUAGAACAUCACAGACUGACAGUGGACACACAAACGACGAAAUAUAAAGACAAAUAAAAUACCCAGACACGUAAAACAAAAGAGGGAAGAGGGUAAGGACUGAGCAAGUGCAAUAAGCAUGUGUAUUAACUCCAAUAUACUAAGACAAAUAUCCCGCAUGGAAAGAAUAAUUGGAAUCAAAACGGAC